rnacentral:ncRNA from 1 species
UGAAAACCGAUGAUGGAAAGCAGUAGCGGCGGCCGCCCGUGCAGAGAGCCGGUGGCGGGUGCGAACCGGACGGACCGGCGCCGUGAACUCGUUUCUGAGGUGCCCGCGGGAAGCCGUCACCGUACCGCGGGCCGCGGCCCGCGUUAUCGGCUGGAGUGGGCCCUCGUCAGGAGGGUCAAGUUGGGUGGUACCGCGGGAUGCGCCUCUCGUCCUAACC